rfam:Gossypium arboreum cultivar AKA8401 contig_1379_3, whole genome shotgun sequence.
GCGGAAAUAGCUCAGUUGGUAAGAGUGUCACCUUGCCAAGGUGAAGGUCGCGAGUUCGAGUCUCGUUUUCCGCU